rnacentral:rRNA from 1 species
CCUACGGGGGGCAGCAGUGGGGGAUAUUGCACAAUGGGGGGAACCCUGAUGCAGCGACGCCGCGUGGGUGAAGGAGCGUUUCGGCGCGUAAAGCCCUAUCGGCAGGGAAGAAGAUGACGGUAACUGACCAAGAAGCCCCGGCUAACUACGUGCCAGCAGCCGCGGUAAUACGUAGGGGGCAAGCGUUAUCCGGAUUCAUUGGGUUUAAAGGGUGCGCAGGCGGGCCUUUAAGCCGGCGGUGAAAUCGCGGGGCUAAAACCCGCCGAGCCGUCGGAACUGGGGGCCUUGAGUGCGGCGGAGGCAUGCGGAAUGCGCGGUGUAGCGGUGAAAUGCAUAGAUAUCGCGCAGAACCCCGAUUGCGAAGGCAGCGUGCCGUGCCGCCACUGACGCUGAGGCACGAAAGCGCGGGGAUCGAACAGGAUUAGAUACCCUGGUAGUC